ACUCCUACGGGAGGCAGCAGUGGGGAAUAUUGCGCAAUGGGCGAAAGCCUGACGCAGCGACGCCGCGUGAGGGAUGAAGGCCUUCGGGUUGUAAACCUCUUUCAGCGCAGAAGAAGCGAAAGUGACGGUAUGCGCAGAAGAAGCACCGGCUAACUACGUGCCAGCAGCCGCGGUAAUACGUAGGGUGCAAGCGUUGUCCGGAAUUAUUGGGCGUAAAGAGCUCGUAGGCGGUUUGUCGCGUCUGCUGUG
rnacentral:rRNA from 1 species